CGGGGAAUCUUGCGCAAUGGGCGAAAGCCUGACGCAGCAACGCCGCGUGGGGGAUGACGGCCUUCGGGUUGUAAACCCCUUUCGAUAGGGACGAAAAUGACGGUACCUAGAGAAGAAGCCCCGGCCAACUACGUGCCAGCAGCCGCGGUAAUACGUAGGGGGCGAGCGUUGUCCGGAUUUAUUGGGCGUAAAGCGCGCUAAGGCGGCUGGGCAAGUCGUGUGUGAAAGCUCCAGGCUCAACUUGGAGAGGCCACGCGAUACUGCUCUGGCUAGAGUUCGGUAGGGGAAGGUGGAAUACCUGGUGUAGCGGUGAAAUGCGCAGAUAUCAGGUGGAACACCAGUGGCGAAGGCGGCCUUCUGGGCCGAUACUGACGCUGAUGCGCGAAAGCGUGGGGAGCGAACAG
rnacentral:rRNA from 1 species